UUGAAGGAAUUCCAUGCAUUGAUUCUGGAAGAAUUUGGAGUGUUCAAGCCUAAAUCAAUAAUAAGAAUUGGUUAUUGCCAUGGGCAUUACUUAUCCCUGAAGGAAGACAAAAAUAAACUUCUGAUGGCUACACUAGAAGAUGAGAUGGGACAAAAUAUGAAUGAAGGCAUCCGAUACUUCAGAGAUGUUUUGUUUGUUGAAGCAGAGAUAUUAGUUGCAUCAGUUGUUUGGAAUUUGCCAUUAUUUGAAGCUGAGCGUCGCCUCUACCCCAAAAAAUCAUAAACAAAAAUAUUCAAUACUGUAUUGGACAAUAUUUUUUCUUUCGCAAAAUACAAAGAAAAUGUUACUAGGGAUUUUUAAAUCCAAGGAGCAU